GCUUAUGUUGAAAGAGCCUUUUCAAUGAUCAAUGCACAGUUGACUUACUUAAUGGAUACGGAUAUUCAUCUCCAUGGAAACAGUGAGAAGCAUUUCAAGAAAAUGUGCAUGGAAUUUCACACCUGAGUUACUGCAAAAAGUCAUUUCGUCUGAGAGAAAUUCUACACCUCUGAAGGAACUGAGGAAUUUCAUUAAAGAUGUUUAACAGGUACUCUGAUACAUAACAGAAAAUAAAUUGAAAGCCUCAGAUGGAUUGAGCUUAUCAAAAGUAAAACCAAACUCAAGACCAUAUAAGAAACACAGUGGGUCAGUGGCUCUGUCAUCUUCAGCAUCUUUCUAAUGAGGAGUUAAAUCAAUCACCAGGUGCAGGACUGACUACAUUUUCUAAGACUGCUAGGAUAUUGCCACUGAAUCAAACACCACCAUCAGAAAUAACUAAAAUAAAUAUUGAUGCUCUCAAGGCAAAU
rnacentral:sRNA from 1 species